UACGUAGGGGGCAAGCGUUGUCCGGAAUUACUGGGCGUAAAGCGCACGUAGGCGGCUUUCUAAGUCGGGGGUGAAAUCCUGGAGCUCAACUCCAGAACUGCCUUCGAUACUGCGGGUCUCGAGUCCGGGAGAGGUGAGUGGAAUUCCUAGUGUAGAGGUGAAAUUCGUAGAUAUUAGGAAGAACACCAGUGGCGAAGGCGGCUCACUGGCCCGGUACUGACGCUGAGGCGCGAAAGCGUGGGGAGCAAACAGG
rnacentral:rRNA from 1 species